rnacentral:lncRNA from 1 species
CGCAGUGCUGCUGUCCCUGGUGCUGAUAUUUUCAUAGGCACACACCGUGGACCAUGGCAGAAUUUCCAGGAACGCUAGAUGUAUUUGUACUAUUUUUAUGUCUACUGAUUGAAAACUGAACAAAGGAAGCUCACCAUCCAACACCUUGGGGCUCACAUUGAACAAAGACAACACAGCAGCAGCAGCACUGGGAGCUUGUUAGAAAGGCAGGCUCUCAGACCCCACAUCAGACCUCCUGAGUCAGAAUCUACAGUUUAACAAGAUCUCCCAGUGAUCUAAUGGCCAUUAAAGUCUGAGAGCCACCAUGGAAAUCACUACCGCCUAGUUAGCCAUACAGGGCAGUCAAAUGAGCUGUUCACCAUUUGAAGAGGCCAUCACAAUGCUCAGAAGAUGAUCAAAGAAGCUACUUAAGAAUAACAUGCUGCCUUUUUAAAAAACCAAUGCCCACGCUGAACUCAGAAUGGUAAUGAGCUCAGGCAGGAGCCCAACUGAGACCUCCACGGCCAUCCCACCCAGCUGGGAUAUUUGCAUUUUAUACAAACCAUUUUAUGAUGCUAUAAAUUUCACAUUUUUAUAGUUACAGGUCUUAAUCAUCAUGAAUACCAUUUCUGCACGUAUCUUUGGUAAACGGAAUUAAAAUCUCCUCAUGAUCUGAAAA